GCUCCCGUCAUUUCUACUCCGGAAAACCAGCUUUUGAGAUGCUGGACUUGGAUCCAGACUGGGUUCCGUCUCUACACCUUGGUCACCAUGAAGAAAAGUCCAGAAAAAAGAAACGCAGACACGAGGACGAUUGUGGUUUGGAUCUCAGGAGACCAGCGCCACCUCCUUGGAAGGAAGUAAAAACUGCUCUGCAGACUCUUCUGCAGGGAAAACCCAACAUCUAUCAACAGAACCCAGGAGAACCAAACAGCCGACCCGCUGAGACCAG